CUAUUCUCUUUGGUAUUUUUACAGUUUUUUUCCCUCAGUGUUUUCCAAUUUCACUAUGGAAUGUCUAGAAGUAUUUGCAGUUGUUGUUUAAGUGUGUUAAUGCUUGGACAGUGUUGUACUGGUAAAUAUUUAACAACUGGAGUGAGAGUGGGACAAUUUAUAGUGAGUUUACCAAUGUUUGUGAUAUAAACAUUCCCACUAUGGCCUACUUCAAAGAUGUCACAAAAGUGACAUCUUUGGAUACAAACUUUGGAACAGAUGCUAUAUAGCAUGCUGCUGGAUUUCAGCCACAGACAUACAAUAGACAUAACUUCGAGGACACAGGAGACAGGAGGUCUGCUGCUCCUUUAUCCAGGUGGAAGGAAAGACAUCUUCUGUGCAAGUGCGUGUGCCAGAAGAUGGAGAAGUGGUGGAUGUUCCACGAAACAGCUUUUGUGCAGUCUCUGAGAACUUGGCUACAGAAACAUCGCCAGGAAGAAGCAGAACACGGGAGCAGAGAGGGAAAGAGUCCUCCUCACGUGCGUCACUUGCGGCACAGGCGAGCCUCUUCUGGUUCUUCAGAUGAGAAAACCAGGAUAUAAAUUAAGAAUAACAUACCUGUGAUGAUGCAGCUGUGAAGGCCGAGCUGGAUCUGAGGCUGCUGACUUUGCUCUCCCUUUCCUCCUGCCAUUCCAUACGCCAGGAAAGGUGAAGCCGUUGGCUGAGCAUAGGAGAAUUCAGGUCCUCUUCCAAAAGGCUAUGCUUUUCACAAAUUAAAAC
ensembl:lncRNA